ACUUACCUUCAUAAGAAGCAAGUUGUUUUUUACACCCAUGAUGCUGAGGUUAUAUUUCUAAUGAUUUACCUUUUUCUCUUAGAUCAAGCUUUGUGAUUCAUCAGCCAAGGGAUGAAAAAAGAAAGAGUUAAUCUAUGGGCUGGAGCAGCUGUCUCUGAGAGGAAAAGAAAAAAAUAUAGCUCAAAAACUACAAAUACAAAUGCAAUGGCAUCACGUAUAAUUACAUCUGUAACUACUUAUAAAGUACUGUUGAUGCACGUGCAGGUGCGACCACUUCUUUUUUCUGGGCAGCUGAUUUGGCUCUGGAAACACGGACCAUUUUGUAGAGACAAGGCUCAAUCAAAGAC